GAUAAACGCUGGCGGCGUGCCUAACACAUGCAAGUCGAACGAUCCCGCAAGGGAGAGUGGCGGAAGGGUGAGUAACACGUGGGAAUCUACCUCCUCGCAGGGAACAACCUCUCGAAAGAGAGGCUAAUACCCAAAAGGGUCAGAAAUGAUCAGAGUCGAAAGGCGUGAGGAGAGGAGCCCGCGGCCCAUCAGCUAGUUGGUGAGGUAAUGGCUUACCAAGGCUACGACGGGUAGGGGAUCUGAGAGGAUGUCCCCCACACUGGAACUGAAACACGGUCCAGACGCCUACGGGUGGCAGCAGUGAGGAAUAUUGGACAAUGGGCGAAAGCCCGAUCCAGCAACGCCGCGUGGAGGAUG
rnacentral:rRNA from 1 species